AACACUCAAAGUCCUCGUAAGUCUCUGCUUGUUUCAAACCCUCCUCUCCUCCGCCGCUCGCCGUCGCAAUGGCGAUCUCGCCGACCACAUUCGCCGUCGCAGCUCUCCUCUUCAUCAGCCACCUAUCCCUUCUCACAACCCCCGCCAUAUCCCUCUCCUCUGAAUCCCUCCUUACCGAGCUCUCCGACCUCCAAUCGCAGUCCCCCACCGGCGUCAUCCGCCUCUCCGACUCCCUCCUCCGCCGCAUCGUCUCCCUGCCCACCCCACGCCCCUUCCACUCCCUAAUCUUCUUCGACGCGCACCAGUUCCACUCUAAACCUGAGCUUUCGCUCCCAACACUCAAAUCCGAAUUCGGCCUCGUUUCCGCCUCUUUCCAAUCGAAUAACCCUAAUUCCAAAUCGAAACUCUUCUUCUUCGAAAUCGAAUUCCAGGAAUCUCAAUCAUCCUUCGCCCUUUUCGACGUCAACUCCCUCCCUCACAUCCGCCUCAUCCCGCCCACCGCCUCCGAUGUAAAGACGGAAUCUAUUCAAAUGGACGCCGCCGAUUACUCGAGAUUGGGCGAUUCGAUGGCCGAAUUCAUCGAAUCAAGAGCUAAAUUCACCGUUGGGCCGCUCAAUCGCCCUCCAGUUGUUUCGAAGAAACAGAUCGCAUUCAUAAUCGCUGUAAUCCUGAUCUGGACUCCGUUCUUCCUGAAGAAAUUGAUCGCCGGAAACACAAUUUUCCACGAUAAGAACAUAUGGAUGGCGGGGGCGGUUUUCGUCUACUUCUUCAGCGUUUCGGGGGCGAUGUUUAAUAUAAUUAGGAAAAUGCCGAUGUUUAUUGCGGAUAGGCAGGAUCCAUUGAAGCUGGUGUUCUUCUACCAGGGGUCAGGGAUGCAGCUGGGGGCUGAGGGAUUCUCGAUUGGCUUCCUGUACACGAUCGUGGGGCUGCUGCUGGCUUUUGUGACUCAUGUAUUGGUGAGGGUGAAGAACAAGACUGUGCAGAGAGUUGUGAUGCUUUUCGUGCUGUUUGUAUCGUUCUGGGCCGUGAAGAAGGUGAUUUUCUUGGAUAAUUGGAAGACCGGGUAUGGCAUUCACGGCUACAUGCCUACGAGCUGGCAGUGAUCUUCUCUGGCUUUUGAUAUGCGACCUGCAGAAUGAUAGGAGAAGUUGCCUCUCUCCUAAUUCUCCUUCCCCCCAGUCUCAUUUAAGGCAAAGGAGGAACCAACCCCUUUUGACAAAUUGGUGGUUCUUCAUUAUCUUAUAGUGCACGCCAAUUUCUUUCUAAUCCGCACGGCUUCCCAAAUGGGAACCAAAAUGAAGGGGAUAUAUAAAGGAGUCAAAUACAGCAUCACUCAAAUGUUUGGAGCCAGAACUGGAAAUUGGGGACCCCACUGAUGUGAAGCAUGUAGCACAUAUUGGGAUGGAUGGUUCCUCCGGAAAUGCACCCUCUUGGAUGAAUGAGUACAAGACGGAGAGUGAUUUCGCAGCAACAUCCCUUGAACUUGGUGAAUCCCAAUCGGGUGAAACCUCAAUGGAGGUUGCUGGCGUGAAGAAGAAGAAGAAGAAGGAGAGGAGGAGGAAACCGAGAUCAAGUAACUCUUCUCAA